rnacentral:rRNA from 1 species
GCCUAUUAGCUAGCUCCACCCAUCAAACACAACAAAUAAACAUAAAUUUAAACCCAAAAACACAAGAUCGUCAUUAACCAAAGCAUUUUCCCUCCUCAGUAUGGGCGACAGAAAAGGACCUCAAGGACGCAAUAGAAAAAGUACCGCAAGGGAAAGCUGAAAGAGAAAUGAAACAAACCAGUAAAGCCAAAAAAAGCAGAGAUAUUUCCUCGUACCUUUUGCAUCAUGA